rnacentral:rRNA from 1 species
GACGUACGCUGGCGGCGUGCCUAAUACAUGCAAGUUGAGCGCUGAAGGUUGGUACUUGUACCGACUGGAUGAGCAGCGAACGGGUGAGUAACGCGUGGGGAAUCUGCCUUUGAGCGGGGGACAACAUUUGGAAACGAAUGCUAAUACCGCAUAAAAACUUUAAACACAAGUUUUAAGUUUGAAAGAUGCAAUUGCAUCACUCAAAGAUGAUCCCGCGUUGUAUUAGCUAGUUGGUGAGGUAAAGGCUCACCAAGGCGAUGAUACAUAGCCGACCUGAGAGGGUGAUCGGCCACAUUGGGACUGAGACACGGCCCAAACUCCUACGGGAGGCAGCAGUAGGGAAUCUUCGGCAAUGGACGAAAGUCUGACCGAGCAACGCCGCGUGAGUGAAGAAGGUUUUCGGAUCGUAAAACUCUGUUGGUAGAGAAGAACGUUGGUGAGAGUGGAAAGCUCAUCAAGUGACGGUAACUACCCAGAAAGGGACGGCUAACUACGUG